GUGCUCACUUUGGCAGCACAUAUAGUAAAAUUGGAAUGAUACCGAGAAGAUUAGCAUGGCCACUGCACAAGGAUGACACACACACACACACACACACACACACACACA